ACAAAAAUGAAACGCUGUUUUCCCUCUUCAAUCACCUUGUUUUAUCUUGCCCACACAGUUGUUGGGCUUUACGAGAUGCCGCUCUCCUGACUCACUGGUUAGUGCUUACGACAGCAGGGCAGGACACGAGUGUAGAAGAAUGAGGCCACCACUGCAAGUCAUUUACCUGUUUGGACACUCUGGGCUCCUCCUCUAUGUACUUCUGCUCAAUGGGGAUCAGCGUCCUGAGACCAGCCUUCACCUGGAGGACAGCGUAAAACAACAAAGUGAAAUAUUUACGCAAAGCGAUGAGGAAUCACAUUGAAUCAACAGCCGUCGGACUCACAUUUAGCAAAGGAAUAGCCACCUUCCCCAGGAAGUCUGCGCUUCUGUCUCGGUCCUCGUCGUAAACGGUGACUUCAAGUACUGAGUGAAUGUCCUUCACAUUACUGGAUGAGACGUCCAGAAAAGACCGGUUAACAUAAUGAUAUAUUAAUAAUUUUCAAACGCUAGGACACAACACAGAAGACUAAUUUCAAACUGAAGGCUUGAAAUGUGAAAUGACCCAGGAGGCAUUACAAAAGUUUUGUAUUUGAAUCUACUCUUCUAAAUUUGCAGGAAUGUUAAAACUCAUGAAAUAAACACAUUAUAAGUCAUUGCGCUACAUUUCGAUCAAGUUCAAGUUAAAAUAGAGUUGUGUCAUAUUUGUAAAAGUAGGCUAUCGAGAUGGCUGAUGUUAUGUAUAGAAAAGAGGCUAUGUGGGCGAUGUGAACUCAAAGAAUGAUUAAAUUAACUGGUCCCAUC